UACGGAGGGUGCGAGCGUUGUCCGGAAUUACUGGGCGUAAAGCGUGCGCAGGCGGUUUGCUAAGACUGAUGUGAAAUCCCCGGGCUUAACCUGGGAACUGCAUUGGUGACUGGCAGGCUAGAGUAUGGCAGAGGGGGGUAGAAUUCCACGUGUAGCAGUGAAAUGCGUAGAGAUGUGGAGGAAUACCGAUGGCGAAGGCAGCCCCCUGGGCCAAUACUGACGCUCAUGCACGAAAGCGUGGGGAGCAAACAGG
rnacentral:rRNA from 1 species